UAGAGUUUGAUCCUGGCUCAGAGCGAACGCUGGCGGCAGGCUUAACACAUGCAAGUCGAGCGGGCGUAGCAAUACGUCAGCGGCAGACGGGUGAGUAACGCGUGGGAACGUACCUUUUGGUUCGGAACAACCCAGGGAAACUUGGGCUAAUACCGGAUAAGCCCUUACGGGGAAAGAUUUAUCGCCGAAAGAUCGGCCCGCGUCUGAUUAGCUAGUUGGUGAGGUAACGGCUCACCAAGGCGACGAUCAGCAGCUGGUCUGAGAGGAUGAUCAGCCACAUUGGGACUGAGACACGGCCCAAACUCCUACGGGAGGCAGCAGUGGGGAAUAUUGAACAAUGGGCGCAAGCCUGAUCCAGCCAUGCCGCGUGAGUGAUGAAGGCCCUAGGGUUGUAAAGCUCUUUUGUGCGGGAAGAUAAUGACGGUACCGCAAGAAUAAGCCCCGGCUAACUUCGUGCCAGCAGCCGCGGUAAUACGAAGGGGGCUAGCGUUGCUCGGAAUCACCGGGCGUAAAGGGUGCGUAGGCGGGUCUUUAAGUCAGGGGUGAAAUCCUGGAGCUCAACUCCAGAACUGCCUUUGAUACUGAAGAUCUUGAGUUCGGGAGAGGUGAGUGGAACUGCGAGUGUAGAGGUGAAAUUCGUAGAUAUUCGCAAGAACACCAGUGGCGAAGGCGGCUCACUGGCCCGAUACUGACGCUGAGGCACGAAAGCGUGGGGAGCAAACAGGAUUAGAUGCCCUGCUAGUCCACGCCGUAAACGAUGAAUGCCAGCCG
rnacentral:rRNA from 1 species